UCGAGAAUCUUCGGCAAUGGACGAAAGUCUGACCGAGCGAUGCCGCGUGCGGGAUGAAGGCCUUCGGGUUGUAAACCGCUGUCAGUUGGGAGGAAGGGCCGCCGAAGAGGCGGCUUUGACCUAUCUUCAGAGGAAGUCCGGGCUAAGUUCGUGCCAGCAGCCGCGGUAACACGAACCGGACGAACGUUAUUCGGAAUUAUUGGGCUUAAAGGGUGCGUAGGCGGUGCGGUAAGUGAGGUGUGAAAGCCCCCGGCUCAACCGGGGAAUUGCGCUUCAUACUGCCGUGCUAGAGGGAGACAGAGGUAAGCGGAACUGAUGGUGGAGCGGUGAAAUGCGUUGAUAUUAUCAGGAACACCGGUGGCGAAAGCGGCUUACUGGGUCUCAUCUGACGCUGAGGCACGAAAGCUAGGGUAGCGAACGGGAUUAGAUACCCCGGUAGUCC
rnacentral:rRNA from 1 species